rnacentral:lncRNA from 1 species
ACUACAGAUAUUUAUUAAGUAUUUAUUACAAAGCCAAAACAUCAAAGCAGCUAUUUAACGUCAUUUGAGGGUCACUGUUGACUUAUAUAAAGUGACCUCAGUGUUCACUUUAACUGUACCAUUAUUAUAAAUCCAGUACUGUGUACUAAGCGUUAACGUGAUAAGAUCCUGAGUCAAGUCUGGGAAAUGAGGGCUGGCAAGUGCACCUCCAGAGAUGUCAGCGUGAUCACUGUCGUUUGAGGCGUCUGCAAGGGAUGUGUGAUGGUGUGAUGAGAAUGAAAUCAAGGUAUUACAGUUAUUCUUUGCAGGGAGGAGCAGGGAGGGAAAAAAAAGCCAUCUUGUCCGCACCUGGAGUCUCCUCAUUUACUGUUACUGUAUUGGCUGGGUAUGAGUACCUCAAGCCCUACACACCCGACUGAGAACUUCCGUUUCUGUAACCCUUUUUACUGGAAAAUAGGAAAAUCUUCCCAGGUGAGCAUAUGCUU